rnacentral:misc_RNA from 1 species
AAGUACCAAUCUACACAGUAAUUUUGACUGUCUAGGCUAUCGAAUACUUAGGGAAUGAAGUUUGUUAACCUUAAACACUAGAAUGGUAAACUUAAAACGAAAUGAUUUAUUUGAAACAAUUCUGGAAUUAAGAUUUCUCACUUGAAUCUUACUAGAGAUGUUAUCUCGUUUAUUUACUGAAUUGAGGAUCAUUUUCCUUGAUGGAAAUCAGUCCUAAGUCAUCCUAAAUCCUCUCUCAAGGCAGCUAGGGUGUAUUCUAAUUAACUCAAACUCAACUUUCGUGGUGAUCAAAUUAAUU